rnacentral:rRNA from 1 species
AUGAACGCUAGCUACAGGCUUAACACAUGCAAGUCGAGGGGCAGCAUGGUCUUAGCUUGCUAAGGCCGAUGGCGACCGGCGCACGGGUGAGUAACACGUAUCCAACCUGCCGUCUACUCUUGGACAGCCUUCUGAAAGGAAGAUUAAUACAAGAUGGCAUCAUGAGUCCACAUGUUCACAUGAUUAAAGGUAUUCCGGUAGACGAUGGGGAUGCGUUCCAUUAGAUAGUAGGCGGGGUAACGGCCCACCUAGUCUUCGAUGGAUAGGGGUUCUGAGAGGAAGGUCCCCCACAUUGGAACUGAGACACGGUCCAAACUCCUACGGGAGGCAGCAGUGUGGAAUAUUGGUCAAUGGGCGAGAGCCUGAACCAGCCAAGUAGCGUGAAGGAUGACUGCCCUAUGGGUUGUAAACUUCUUUUAUAAAGGAAUAAAGUCGGGUAUGCAUACCCGUUUGCAUGUACUUUAUGAAUAAGGAUCGGCUAACUCCGUGCCAGCAGCCGCGGUAAUACGGAGGAUCCGAGCGUUAUCCGGAUUUAUUGGGUUUAAAGGGAGCGUAGAUGGAUGUUUAAGUCAGUUGUGAAAGUUUGCGGCUCAACCGUAAAAUUGCAGUUGAUACUGGAUAUCUUGAGUGCAGUUGAGGCAGGCGGAAUUCGUGGUGUAGCGGUGAAAUGCUUAGAUAUCACGAGGAACUCCGAUUGCGAAGGCAGCCUGCUAAGCUGCAACUGACAUUGAGGCUCGAAAGUGUGGGUAUCAAACAGGAUUAGAUACCCUGGUAGUCCACACGGUAAACGAUGAAUACUCGCUGUUUGCGAUAUACUGCAAGCGGCCAAGCGAAAGCGUUAAGUAUUCCACCUGGGGAGUACGCCGGCAACGGUGAAACUCAAAGGAAUUGACGGGGGCCCGCACAAGCGGAGGAACAUGUGGUUUAAUUCGAUGAUACGCGAGGAACCUUACCCGGGCUUAAAUUGCAGAUGAAUUACGGUGAAAGCCGUAAGCCGCAAGGCAUCUGUGAAGGUGCUGCAUGGUUGUCGUCAGCUCGUGCCGUGAGGUGUCGGCUUAAGUGCCAUAACGAGCGCAACCCUUGUUGUCAGUUACUAACAGGUUCCGCUGAGGACUCUGACAAGACUGCCAUCGUAAGAUGUGAGGAAGGUGGGGAUGACGUCAAAUCAGCACGGCCCUUACGUCCGGGGCUACACACGUGUUACAAUGGGGGGUACAGAGGGCCGCUACCACGCGAGUGGAUGCCAAUCCCAAAAACCUCUCUCAGUUCGGACUGGAGUCUGCAACCCGACUCCACGAAGCUGGAUUCGCUAGUAAUCGCGCAUCAGCCACGGCGCGGUGAAUACGUUCCCGGGCCUUGUACACACCGCCCGUCAAGCCAUGGGAGCCGGGGGUACCUGAAGUGCGUAACCGCGAGGAGCGCCCUAGGGUAAAACUGGUGACUGGG